AUUGAACGCUGGCGGCAGGCCUAACACAUGCAAGUCGAGCGGAUGAAGGGAGCUUGCUCCUGGAUUCAGCGGCGGACGGGUGAGUAAUGCCUAGGAAUCUGCCUGGUAGUGGGGGAUAACGUCCGGAAACGGGCGCUAAUACCGCAUACGUCCUGAGGGAGAAAGUGGGGGAUCUUCGGACCUCACGCUAUCAGAUGAGCCUAGGUCGGAUUAGCUAGUUGGUGGGGUAAAGGCCUACCAAGGCGACGAUCCGUAACUGGUCUGAGAGGAUGAUCAGUCACACUGGAACUGAGACACGGUCCAGACUCCUACGGGAGGCAGCAGUGGGGAAUAUUGGACAAUGGGCGAAAGCCUGAUCCAGCCAGGCCGCGUGUGUGAAGAAGGUCUCCGGAUUGUAAAGCACUUUAAGUUGGGAGGAAGGGCAGUAAGUUAAUACCUUGCUGUUUUGACGUUACCAACAGAAUAAGCACCGGCUAACUUCGUG
rnacentral:rRNA from 1 species